UACGUAGGGUGCAAGCGUUUGUCCGGAAUUAUUGGGCGUAAAGAGCUCGUAGGCGGUCUGUCGCGUCGGAUGUGAAAACCCAGGGCUCAACCCUGGGCCUGCAUUCGAUACGGGCAGACUAGAGUUCGGUAGGGGAGACUGGAAUUCCUGGUGUAGCGGUGAAAUGCGCAGAUAUCAGGAGGAACACCGGUGGCGAAGGCGGGUCUCUGGGCCGAUACUGACGCUGAGGAGCGAAAGCGUGGGGAGCGAACAGG
rnacentral:rRNA from 1 species